rnacentral:rRNA from 1 species
UACGGAGGGGGCUAGCGUUGUCCGAAGUUACUGGGCGUAAAGCGCACGUAGGCGGCUUUGUAAGUUAGAGGUGAAAGCCCGGGGCUCAACUCCGGAAUUGCCUUUAAGACUGCAUCGCUAGAAUUGUGGAGAGGUAAGUGGAAUUCCGAGUGUAGAGGUGAAAUUCGUAGAUAUUCGGAAGAACACCAGUGGCGAAGGCGACUUACUGGACACAUAUUGACGCUGAGGUGCGAAAGCGUGGGGAGCAAACAGG